UUAAAAAUUUUAGCAUAGGCAAAGAGCAUAUUUAAAAAUUUUUAGAUAUUAGAAUAAUGGAGAGAAAUUUGGUAUAUUUUUUCCUGUCAAAGUUGUCAAAUUAGCAUCAAGGACAUAAGGCUUUAACACACUCAACUCAAAUUAUUACGCCCCAUUGUCACAAAGUGUUUAUGAAAACAACUAUGCAUUUGGAUAUAUUAUAUAACCUAGAAAUACUUGGGUUCUUUUUUUAACCCUGAUUUGAAUUAUCUCAAUCACUAGCAUUGAUGCUAUUAACAUUAUCUUGUGUAAAAAGAUCAGUCAGCCCCUUUUAUACCAUGUAGUCAAUUAUCUAUAUCUUCUAAUACAGCCUGUUAGAUUAUAGAGUUUAUCAGAAAACCAAAAUGGCUUACAAAUCCUGCCUGGUAGAUUUACAUGCAGUGUUAAUUUAUGCAGACUGUUGGAUUAUCAUUGAUUUUACUAGAGAGUUUACACUGAUACUUUUAACAAACUAAAAUUGUCCUGUCAAAAUAUUUUCUUUAAUUUUUUCUUGUAUAGAGCACCAUUUUGAUUUUUCUUAGAUUCUUUUAAUGAUUUGUUUUUUAACUGACUAGAGAUUUAAAAAACUUUUGAAAUGAGAGGAAGAUGAGAAGAAAUUUUCACUGAGAAUGAUAGAAGAUAUUCUUCAUGUUGGAUACUUAAAAAGUAUUUGUAAAUUAAGAAAAGCAAGAUUCAAAAUUCAGUGGAACAAAUUCAUAAAACCAAAUACCAUAAGGAAUUUCUUCAUUUCUUUCUCUCACACAAAAACCUGAUUUAUGAUUCUGAAUCUUAAUUCAUCCAUUGUAAGCCUAUCAGCCAAUCAAGGCUUGAUGUGGCAUUUGGUCUUUUUUGGGAAUAAAAUUUUGUUAAC
rnacentral:misc_RNA from 1 species